rnacentral:lncRNA from 1 species
CUGGCCUGUUAGCACAGGGGGUUACCUCACCCACUGUCUUUCUUCCCAGCAGAAAUUUAAUCCAGCUCAGCCAGGGCAGACAGCCCACCCUAGGGACUGCAUCCCAAGGUGGCACAUGUACAAUCAUUCAAACUGAAUGCUGUGUUUUUAUGCCUAACAACUCUUCCCGUGUGUCAUCUCUGCUAAAGCACACGAAAAAGCAGAUUUCAUGGGCUGAGAAAGAAAGCACAUUGAAAAGAUCAGAGAAGAGCUUUGGAUCAGGAGGCAGGAGACCUGGGAUCUGGCCGUGGCUGUUCCAUCAAGUCACUGUGUGACCUGGACAUGUCACUUCUCCCUCUGCUUCUAUUUCACUUUUGUUUCCUUAUGUGGAAAAUAAAGGUUCAAAUGUC